CCCCUAUUGAUUUUCAGGUCACUAGGUCAAAGGUCAAGGUCACGGUGACCCGAAAUAGUAAAAUGGUUUCCGGAUGAUAACUCAAGAACGCUUAUGGCUAGGAUCAUGAAACUUCUUAGGUACAUUGAUCAUGACUGGCAGAUGACCCCUAUUGAUUUUCAGGUCACUAGGUCAAAGGUCAAGGUCACAGUGACAAAAAACAUAUUCACACAAUGGCUGUCACUACAACGGAGAGCCCAUUUGGGGGGCAUGCAUGUUUUACAAACAGCCCUUGUUACAAUGGUACUAUGCCCUGUCUUCAUUUAAAUUGAUCUUGAUACCAUUUUUUAAACAUUUCAUUAUCAUUUACUCUUUGCUUUCCGCGUGGUAAGACCACCAUUGUUAAAUUAAUGAUUAAUUUAGUGAAUUAGUUAAAUGUGUUUGAAUAUCGUUCCAAAAUAUUUUAUAACACUUGUUAGUAAUGCUAUCAGAUCCCGAACUUUUGUUAUUUUGCAUUUCUUUAAGAGCUAGUCCACAUUCAUAUUCAGUUAGUAAUCCGUCACAUACUUCUUUUUCCUCUUCAUUUAAAGCAUGAUGUGUUUUUUUACAGAGGGUGUUAUUUUCGACAUUCUUUCGUUUAUAGUGUUUCAAAAAAUAGGCUUGUUCUAUUAUUUGCACAAUAUUCAUAUUUAGUUUGUAAUCCUUCACAUACUUGUUAAACUCGUCCUUUAAAGCAUGAUGUGUUAUUUUACAGAGGUUGUUAUUUUCGACAUUCUUUCGUUUAUAGUGUUUCGAAAAAUAGGCUUCUAUUAUUUGACUUUUAUUUGUUAUGUCUUUGCCAUUAACUACUAGUCUGUGUAUAGUUUUGUGUUUGCUUCUACGUUUUAAAAUGUUUGUACAGUAUUUUGUAUUGUUUUCAUUGUGUUCAACAUGAUGUGCCUGGCUCGAAGUAUUAUGCCAUUGAGGUGUGUGUGUGAUAAAUUCCUUCUAUUAUAAUUUUUUUUGUAAGAAUUUCCUUCUUCAAUGGAGGUGGUAUAAUUUGUGUUUCUUUUAUGCAUCUGUUUUUCAAGUGCUUCAAUGACUUUUAUGGCUUCAUUUUCAAGUUUGUGUGUUUCUUUUUUUUAGCUUACCUGAGAACAACGUGCUCAUGGUGAGCUUUUGUGAUCGCCUUUUGUGCAUCGUCUGUUGUGCAGCGUCAACAUUUACCUUGUUAACACUUUAGAGGUCACAUUUAUUUCCAAUCUUCAUGAAACUUGGUCAGAACAUGUGUCCCAUUAAUAUAUUGGACGAGUUCGAAAAUGCUUCUUGUUGUUGAAAAACCUGGGUGCCAGGGGGCGUGACAGUUUUCCUAAUAUGGCUAUUGUAAAACCUUGUUAAGACUCUAGAAGUUACAUUUUUUGUCCAAUCAUCAUGAAACUUGGUCGGAACAUGUGUCCCAAUAAAAUCUUUGACAAGUUCAAAAAUGGUUCCGGUUGGAAGAAAAACAUGGCCGCCAGGGGGCGGGGCAGUUUUCCUAUUAUGGCUAUAGUAAAACUAUUUCACACUGUAGAAGUCAAAUUUAUUGUCCAAUCUUCAUGAAACUUAGUCAGAACAUUUGUUCUAAUGAUAUCUUGGACGAGUUCGAAUAUGGUUCCGGUUGGUUGAUAAACAUGGCUGCCAGGUGGCGUGGCAGUUUUUCCUUAAAUGGCUACAGUAAAACCUUGUUAACACUCUAGAAGUCACAUUUUUAGUCCGUCAGAACAUGUUUCCCAAUAAAAUCUUAAACGAGUUCGAAAAUGGUUCCAGUUGAAUGAAAAAAAUGGCCGCCAGUGGUCGUGGCAGUUUUCCUUAUAUAGCUUUAGUGUAUAGUAAAACCUUUUUUACACUCUAGAAGUCACAUUUAUUGUCCAAUAUUCAUGAAACUUAGUCAGAACAUUUCUUCAUACCAUAUCUCGGAUGAGUUUGAAAAUGGUUCUGGUCUGUUGAAAAACAUGGCUGCCAGGGGGCGGGCCAGUUUUCCUUACAUGGCUAUAGUAAAACCUUGUUAUAACGCUAGAAGUCACAUUUGUGGUCCAAUGCCUAUGAAACUUGGUCAGAAUAUUUGUACUAAUGAUAUCUGGGCUCAGAUCGAAAAUGGUUGAGGUCCGUUUAAAAACAUGGCCGCAAUGGGGCGUGGAAUUUUUUCUUAAAAGGCUAUUUAGUAAUGUUAACACUAGAAGUCACACUAAUUAUCCAAUCUUUAUGAAACUUGAUCAGAACAUUUGUUCUAACAAUAGCUCAGCUGAGUUUGAAAAUGGUCAUGAUUCGUUGAAAAAUAUUGCCGCCGGGGGGGGGGGGCACUUGUCCUUAUAUGGCUUAAGUGAAAACUUGUUGACGCUAUAUUAGCCUUAUUUAUUGGCCAAUCUACAUGAAACUUGGUCAAAACAUUAUUUUGUCCCAAUGAAAUGUUAGCGAAGAUUGAAACUGGGUCAUAUUAGCUUAAAAACUAGGUCACUAGGUCAAAUAUAUAAAAAAAAACAUGUUGAAAGUCAAUUUUUUUGGUCUAAUCUUCAUGAAUCAGCUUGCAUUUGUCCAGAAUAGUCUAGUUCCUUUUGCUCUCAGGUGAGCGCCUUAAGUAUCUUGCCUUUAAUUAUUUCCCAUAAGGUGUUUGGAUUUGCAUCUUUGUUAUCUUAAACUGUAUUGGUUAUAACCUGUUAUAUUUGUGUUUGAUAUUGUGUAUCUUUUCAGGAGCUAUUAUUUACUUUUUAAGUACCUUUGGCCUCUUUCAAGUUGUAUUUCAUGCAGUUAAAGUUCAACUAUCGAGUGAUCAGUCAUAAAUCCUGGUUUUAUGUUGCAUGUGUCGAUAAUGUUGCAAAUAGACUCGCAUAUUUAAAAAAAUCGUAUCUCCAAAAUAUUGCUGGUUUUGUGUUUGAGUGCUAGGUGAAUUUUCUUUCAUUAUGAUUAACUGUAUGCCAUAUGUCUAUCAAAUUGUAGUUUUCAAUUAUGUUAUUCAAAAUGUUCCUUUUUUUGGAGUGAGCAUAAAGAUUUCCAUUUCUUUUAUCUCUAAAAAUGGGUUAAGAACAUUAUUGAAAUCCUCUCCGACUAUAAUGUUCUUAUCUAGGUUAUUUAUUAUAACAUUUGGAUUCAUCUAUGUUCGGACCGUAAACGUGCAUUAAUGUUUAUUGUGUUUCGUGUAUUUUUAUAUCUAUACUUGCUUGUCUGCCAAUCAUUAUUUCGUUCAAGUAAUCCACUGUUAUUCCUGUAUGACUUUUACUCAGACAAGCGAUGCCUUGUUUAUUUGUAUGUUGUCCGCUAAGAUAAAUAUCUCCGUCCCAACCACUUUUCAAUGUUUUUGCUAAGGUAUGUUUUAGGUGACUUUCCUGUAUAAAAAAGACAUAUAUUACUUUUUUUUGUCUAACCAUUUGAAACUUUUAGUGCAUUUGUCUUUGUUAUUUAGUACAUAUGUUAAUACUCACACAAAAGGACGAGAAUUGCAUGAUACCAUUCUUGUUCUAAACAUUUUAAAAUCAUUUUGUAGAGCUAGAUUAUUAGUUAAAAGUUCAUUAUGUCAAGUUAUAUUAAGCUUUGAUGUUAAAUACAAUUACAUUCAAUGUUCUACAGGUUGUUGAUACAUUGUGUUCAUUAAAUUGAUCUCAGCA